GGAUUAGUGGCGGACGGGUGAGUAACGCGUGAGUAACCUGCCUUAGAGAAGGGGAUAGCCUUUGGAAACGAAGAAUAAUACCCUAUGACACCAACACUACGCAUGUAGAGUUGGUCAAAGAUUUAUCGCUCUAAGAUGGACUUGCGUCUGAUUAGUUAGUUGGUGAGGUAACGGCCCACCAAGACAGCGAUCAGUAGCCGGCUUGAGAGAGUGUACGGCCACAUUGGGACUGAGACACGGCCCAGACUCC
rnacentral:rRNA from 1 species